ensembl:lncRNA
AUUUACCAACAUCCUGCUUUCAAGGAUGUAAUAAUGUGGACGUGUUGUUGAGUUGAGUGUCUUUACCUCUAGGGCAACAUGGCAGGUAUAAUGGGUGUCACUAUAUUUAUAUAAUUUGUUUCGGUAGCCGUCGCUCUUGGGUCCUCUGGAGCCUCAUCAUCAACCUUGACAGUGACUCCAAUGAAGGCAACCACCAGGAAUACCCCAACAUUGUCUGUCACCAUCCCCACAGUGGCCCCUGCCAUGCCAACCAGUAGGACAAGUUCAUCAGUCAGUGAAGCACCUAAUACAGAUCCUACUGGUGACACUAGAGUCCCAAUGGAAUCAUCAACUUCAUCACCUGCAACUGAGCCUUCCCAAUACUCUCAGCCACUAACUCCAUCACAAUCAUCCAAUGGCAGCACCACCACACAAACCUCUACAGGUUUUACAGCUGACACUACUAUGAAUCAGACCCUAACUGGAAUAGUUGGUUAUGACUCAACAUCCUCAAUCUUCUCAUCAACUUUGUCGCCAAGCUCUGAUUUUACGACAGGGAACAUGAGCUCAAGCACAGAAAGUGAUGGGAGACAUGUCUUAUCAAGGAGUCCGGGCCUCGUAGCAGUCCUCUGCAUAUUCUGCAUCUGUCUGGGUCUUCUGCUGGCCGUUGGAAUUGCAAAGCUCAUUACUCCCAGAGGUUCAACAUUUCAGAGGCUUGAAGAUGUGCCAUUGGUGAAUUGAUUUUGUAUUGGUGGUAUAGAUAUUGCAUGUUCAAUGAACAGGACAUUCGGAUAUAGAAGUGUUUAACGCACAUGAAACCAAAGUCAUGUAAAGCCAACAUGUAUUCUUUAACACAUGAGAAUUAGGCCAGUUUAUCAGAUAAUUGACAUUGAUGAUCAAUUCUAUGCAAAGAUGGUUUCUUUUUUAAAUUAUGUGCUUUACACACUUUGUGCUCCAGUAUUUUGUCUCAAAUGCAAUGCAUUCAAAAGGUACAGAUCUUUGAAUCCAAAUGAAUUGUAAAUCUUCAUUUUAAUUCCUAUUUUCAGGGCAAAAUAAAUGAAGAGUCUCCAUUUGCCCGUUACCCUGAAAAACAAUUCUGAAAGAAAACACAUCAUGAGAGAAGGUAUUCUAUUUGGGGUUCAGACAGUGUUGUUCAUGAGGACGUGUCACCCACCAUCAUGUUUAUGUUCCUGUUUUUGUUUGUUUAAUUUGUCUGGCUGCUGGAAAGUGACGUGUGUUUGAAGGAAGUCAGUAUAGGCACUAAAAGCAAUCCUGUGAUGUGGUAAAGAAUAUCUCCUCCCAGGUUGGUCAGCAGCAUACUGAAGUCGAUCGUUGGUACUGUUCAUUCACAGGUGGAUGGAUGCAUCAAGGAACUGAAUACAGAAGAUGCACAGACAAUGUCUGCGUUUACACAGGUAGCCCAAUUCUGAUCUUUUGCCAAAUUUUUAGCGAAAGAUCUGAUUUGUCAAAAAUACCAAUUAUUGGCACAAUAUCAGAAUUGGUCUGCCUUUAUAAACACAGCCAAUGUGUCAGGUAUCACUAGAAAUAAAGCUAUGAAAAAAGCUAUAAUAAAGCCAAAUUCUCUGUUUCUUGAAAAGACUAUGACAAACAGGCCUAAUUUUUGUAUGGGUUGAAAUAAAUAAAUGAUUGCAUUGAA